GCUGGGCGCAGUGGCACGUGCCUGUAGUCCCAGCUACUCGGGAGGCUAAGGCUGGAGGAUUGCUUGAGUCCAGGAGUUCUGGGCUGUGGUGCACUAUGCCAAUUGGGUGUCUGCAUUAAGUUUGGCAUGAAUAUGGUGACCUCCUGGGAGUGGGGGAACACCAGGUUGCCUAAGGAGGAGUGAACUGGGCCAGGAUGGAAACAGAGCAGGUUAAAACUCCUGUGCUGAUCAGUAGUGGGAUGACACCUGUGAAUAGCCACUGCACUCCAGCCUGGGCAAUGUAGCAAUACCCUAU
ensembl:misc_RNA Metazoa_SRP Metazoan signal recognition particle RNA